AAUAAGUGCAGUUUUAUACUAUUCAUCUCUAACGAUUGACAGUUCGUCUUAUUUGAAAAAUUUUUAUGAUUGAUAUUUUUAUUGCUAUUAGAUGACAAAAUAUGAAUGGUAUUUUAUGUGUGACUAAAUUUUUUAAAAUUUUUCAUAAAUUUUUUAAAUAAGACGAACGGUCAAAAGUUAGACACGGAUUUCUACGGCUGCACUCAAU
rnacentral:pre_miRNA from 1 species